rnacentral:rRNA from 1 species
CAGUCGCCGCGGGAAUACGUAGGGUGCGAGCGUUAAUCGGAAUUACUGGGCGUAAAGCGUGCGCAGGCGGUUUUGUAAGACAGGCGUGAAAUCCCCGGGCUCAACCUGGGAAUGGCGCUUGUGACUGCAAAGCUAGAGUGCGGCAGAGGGGGAUGGAAUUCCGCGUGUAGCAGUGAAAUGCGUAGAUAUGCGGAGGAACACCGAUGGCGAAGGCAAUCCCCUGGGCCUGCACUGACGCUCAUGCACGAAAGCGUGGGGAGCAAACAGGAUUAGAUACCCGAGUAGUCCCUGUCUCUUAUAA